ACCCGAAGCCCGUGGCCCAACCCGUAAGGGGGGGAGCGGUCGAAGGUGGGGCUGGCGAUUGGGACGAAGUCGUAACAAGGUAGCCGUACCGGAAGGUGCGGCUGGAUCACCUCCUUUCUAAGGAGCA
rnacentral:rRNA from 1 species